rnacentral:rRNA from 1 species
CCCGAACUCCUACGGGAGGCAGCAGUGGGGAAUAUUGGACAAUGGGGGCAACCCUGAUCCAGCCAUGCCGCGUGUGUGAAGAAGGCCCUCGGGUUGUAAAGCACUUUCAGCGAGGAAGAACGCCUGGUGGUUAAUACCCGCCAGGAAAGACAUCACUCGCAGAAGAAGCACCGGCUAACUCCGUGCCAGCAGCCGCGGUAAUACGGAGGGUGCAAGCGUUAAUCGGAAUUACUGGGCGUAAAGCGCGCGUAGGUGGCUUGAUAAGCCGGUUGUGAAAGCCCCGGGCUCAACCUGGGAACGGCAUCCGGAACUAUCAGGCUAGAGUGCAGGAGAGGAAGGUAGAAUUCCCGGUGUAGCGGUGAAAUGCGUAGAGAUCGGGAGGAAUACCAGUGGCGAAGGCGGCCUUCUGGACUGACACUGACACUGAGGUGCGAAAGCGUGGGUAGCAAACAGGAUUAGAUACCCUGGUAGUCCACGCCGUAAACGAUGUCGACCAGCCGUUGGGUGCCUAGCGCACUUUGUGGCGAAGUUAACGCGAUAAGUCGACCGCCUGGGGAGUACGGCCGCAAGGUUAAAACUCAAAUGAAUUGACGGGGGCCCGCACAAGCGGUGGAGCAUGUGGUUUAAUUCGAUGCAACGG